UACGUAGGGGGCAAGCGUUGUCCGGAAUCAUUGGGCGUAAAGCGCGUGUAGGCGGCCAGGUAAGUCCGUUCUGAAAUCCCGGGGCUCAACCCCGGGAGGCGGAUGGAUACUGCUUGGCUCGAGUCCGGAAGAGGCGAGUGGAAUUCCCGGUGUAGCGGUGAAAUGCGCAGAUAUGGCAUAGAACACCAAUUGCGAAGGCAGCUUACUACACAGUUAUUGACGCUGAGGCACGAAAGCGUGGGGAUCAAACAGG
rnacentral:rRNA from 1 species